rnacentral:rRNA from 1 species
AGAGUUUGAUCCUGGUUCAAAGUGAACGCUGGCGGCGUGCCUAACACAUGCAAGUCGAACGAGAACGGAUUACAGCUUGCUGUAAUUGUCAGCUAAGUGGCGCACGGGUGAGUAAUAUAUAGUUAAUCUGCCCCAAAGAAGAGAAUAAUUGUUGGAAACGACUUGUAAUGCUCUAUAUGCCUUUAUCACAUAAGUGAGCAAGGGAAAUAUUUAUAGCUUUGGGAUGAGACUGUACGGUAUCAGCUAGUUGGUGAGGUAAUGGCUCACCAAGGCUAUGACAUCUAACUGGUUUGAGAGGAUGAUCAGUCACACUGGAACUGAGACACGGUCCAGACUCCUACGGGAGGCAGCAGUGGGGAAUAUUGCACAAUGGAGGAAACUCUGAUGCAGCAACGCCGCGUGGAGGAUGACACAUUUCGGUGCGUAAACUCCUUUUAUAUGAGAAGAUAAUGACGGUAUCAUAUGAAUAAGCACCGGCUAACUCCGUGCCAGCAGCCGCGGUAAUACGGGGGGUGCAAGCGUUACUCGGAAUCACUGGGCGUAAAGAGCAUGUAGGCUGGUAAUUAAGUUGGAAAUGAAAUCCUAUGGCUCAA